rnacentral:rRNA from 1 species
GACGAACGCUGGCGGCGUGCUUAACACAUGCAAGUCGAGCGGUAAGGCCCUUCGGGGUACACGAGCGGCGAACGGGUGAGUAACACGUGGGUGACCUGCCUCUAGCUCUGGGAUAAGCCUGGGAAACUGGGUCUAAUACUGGAUAUGACUCCAUGACGCAUGUUGUGGGGUGGAAAGCCUUGUGCGGCUGAGGAUGGGCCCGCGGCCUAUCAGCUUGUUGGUGGGGUGAUGGCCUACCAAGGCGA